rnacentral:ncRNA from 1 species
CAAGCGCCAGCGCCCACUGGACCAUGACGUCCGUAGGGGCGGCCCCAUGUGGCCGCCUGGAAUGAGAUCCAGUGGGACGACGAGGGGAAGCGUGAUCGAAAAUUCGGCGGAUGCGCUUCCGGGGCCCCCGGCUCCGUGACACAGUCAGAAAUAUGCGGGCGACCGCAAAACAAAGGGGCUGU